GAUUAUUAUAAUAAUAAUUAUACUAUUUAUCUAUAAUUAUAUAAUAAUAAUCGGUCUCUCUGUCUGUCUAUCUUCUUAUUUUUCUAUCUCUUCUCAUUUUCUAUCUAUCUAUCUAUCUAUCUAUCUUCUUUUGCUGUCUAUCUUCUCUUUUUCUAUCUAUCUUCUCUUUUUCUAUCUAUCUUCUUUUUCUAUCUAUCUUCUCAUACAUUUCUGUCUCUGUCUAUCUAUCUUCUCCUUUUUCUAUCUAUCUGUCUUCUCCUUUUUAUCUAUCUAUCUAUCUAUCUAUUCUGUCUACUCUUUUUCUAUCUAUCUAUCUGUCUCUCUGUCUUUCUGUCUGUCUAUCUUCUUUUUCUAUCUAUCUUCUCCUUUCUAUCUAUCUAUCUAUCUUCUCCUUUUUAUAUCUAUCUAUCUUCUUAUUCUGUCUACUCUUUUUCUAUCUAUCUAUCUUUCUAUCUAUCUUCUCCUUUUCUAUAUAUCUAUCUUCUCCUUUUUCUAUCUAUCUGACUUCUCCUUUUUCUAUCUAUCUUUCUAUCUAUCUAUCUUCUCCUUUUUCUAUAUAUCUAUCUUAUUUAACUAUCUGUCUGUCUUCUCCUUUUUCUUUCUAUCUAUCUUUUUCUUUUUUAUCUAUCUAUCUAUCUAUCUAUCUAUCUAUCUUCUUAUUCUGUCUACUCUUUUUCUAUCUAUCUAUCUGUCUCUAUCUGUCUUUCUGUCUGUCUAUCUUCUCCUUUUUCUAUCUAUCUAUCUUUCUAUCUAUCUAUCUAUCUUUCUAUCUAUCUUCUCCUUUUCUAUCUAUCUAUCUUCUCCUUUUUCUAUAUAUCUAUCUUCUUAUUUAACUAUCUGUCUGUCUUCUCCUUUUUCUUUCUAUCUAUCUUUUUCUUUUUUAUCUAUCUAUCUAUCUAUCUAUCUAUCUAUUUUCUUUCCAUCUCUAUCAGUCUUUCUGUCUGUCUUCUCAUUUAUCUAUCUUCUCAUUUUCUAUCUAUCUAUCUGUCUUUCUGUCUGUCUAUCUUCUCCUUUUUCUAUCUAUCUAUCUUCUCCUUUAUAUCUAUCUAUUUAUCUCUCUAUCUAUCUAUAUACAUAUCUAUCUAUCUUCUCCUUUUUCUAUCUAUCUUCUCAUUUUUAUCUAUAUAUUUAUCUGUCUAUCUAUUCUCUGUUUUUUCUAACUCUCUAUCUGUCUGUCUAUCUAUCUUCUCAUUUUCUAUCUAUCUCUAUCUGUCUUUCUGUCCUUUUUCUAUCUGUCUGUCUAUCUAUCUGUCCAUCUAUUUAUCUAUCUUUCUUCUUAUUCUGUCUAUCUUCUCUUUUUCUAUCUAUCUUCUUCUUUUUCUAUCUAUCUUCUCCUUUUUCUAUAUAUCUAUCUUCUCCUUUUUUAUCUAUCUAUCUUUUCAUUUUCUAUCGAUCUCUAUCUGUCUGUCUAUCUAUCGAUCUUCUCCUUUUUCUAUCUAUCUGUCCUCUCAGUUUUAUAUCUAUCUAUCUUUUAUCUGCUUUAUCCAGCUAUCUAUUUAACUAUCUAUCUGUGUGUCUGUCUAUCUUCUCCUUUUUCUAUCUAUCUAUCAUCUCCUUUUUAUCUAUCUUCUCAUUUUUCUUUCCAUCUGUUUCCCCAUCUAUCUAUCUAUCUAUCUAUCUAUCUAUCUAUCUAUCUAUCUAUCUUUUCAUUUUCUAUCGAUCUCUAUCUGUCUGUCUUUCUGUCUGUCUCUUCUCAUCUAUCUAUCUAUCUAUCUAUCUCUAUCUAUCUAUCUAUCUGUCUUCUCCUUUUUCUACCUUUUUUACUACCUACCUAUUUUUCUAUCUGUCUAUUUAUCUAUCUUCUUUUUCUGUCUCUUCUCAUUUUCUAUCUAUCUCUAUCUGUCUGUCUGUCUAUCUAUCUAUCUUCUCAUUUUCUAUCUAUCUUCUUAUUUUCUAUCUAUCUCUAUCUGUGUCUAUCUAGCUAUCUUCUCAUUUUUCUAUCUAUCUAUCUUCUCCUUUUUCUAGUUAUCUGUCCUCUCAUUUUUCUAUCUAUCUAUCUAUCUAUCUAUCUAUACUUAGUUUUCUAUCUAUCUAUCUUUUUUUAUUUUAAUCUGUCUGUCUUUCUGUCUGCCUCUGUGUCAUCUAUCUAUCUAUCUAUCUAUCUAUCUAUCUAUCUAUCUAUCUAUCUAUCUAUCUAUCUAUCUUCUCCUUUCUAUCUGUCUAUCUAAACCUACAUAAAUGCAUACAAAUAUAUAUUUUAGUUUAUAUAUAUAUAUAUGUAUAUACUUUUCCACGAAUCCUCUCACCACCAACUUUCGACCCUGUUAUUAAAUGUAAAUAAAUGUAAAUAUUAUCACUACAACUUUGUGUCGGAGAGUUAUUUCACUAAAAAACAGGGUUACCUAGAAUUUCUGUGUUCAGGAAUUCUAGGUAAUGUAUUUUUUACAAUUGCAUUAACAAAAAAUCAAAAUGUGAUUUUGAAUCCAAUUUGAAUGGCUUAUGUAUUGUUUUAUUAAUUUAAUUACAUUCUAA
rnacentral:lncRNA from 1 species